rnacentral:rRNA from 1 species
ACGUAGGAGGCAAACGUUAUUCGGAUUUACUGGGCGUAAAGCGGGUGUAGACGGCUUCUUAAGUCGGUUGUGAAAUCUCCUGACUUAAUUGGGAGGAGUCAAUCGAUACUGAGAAGCUUGAGGGCAGCAGAAGAAAGCGGAAUUCCCGGUGUAGCGGUGAUAUGCGUAGAUAUCGGGAGGAAUACCAGUGGCGAAGGCGGCUUUCUAGGUUGUUCCUGACGUUGAUACCCAAAAGCGUGGGGAGCGAAACGGAUUAGAUACCCGUGUAGUCCACGCCCUAAACUUUGAACACUAGGUAUGGUGAGUAUCGACCCUCUUCGUGCCGAAGCUAACGCUUUAAGUGUUCCGCCUGGGGACUACGGUCGCAAGACUA